UGGAACCGAAAAUUAUUGUUUCGCUUGCUCAGCAGAACCUACUAAAGGCAGCCUUAUACGACCUGCGUCACGUCUCAGCAAACUGAUAUUUAACGCUUCGGCCUAUGAAGCUCACAGGAAAAAAAGACAUGGACGCGACAUUUAUAACAGCAACGCUACUGGUCAUAUAUGUCGCCUUCUGGGAGCACAGCGGCGCGGCCAGGUCAAGAAACCCUGCCUGCGAGGAGACUCCUACAGUGGAAAACUGCAGCAUUGUGCUCCGAAAAUGGAGCUUCAAUAUUGAAGCUAACGAAUGCGAAAUAAAUUUUGUUUGCCGAGAAAACAAAAAUUUGUUUCACUCGCAAGAGAACUGCACCAGAACUUGCCCACCAAUUUCAGGAGUGGCACCUCGGCUGAAAAAAGAGGAUUGCUACUAUUGGCUCGACAAAGGAAACGGAUGUUACUCAUACUGGUUUCCUAAUUAUUAUGACCGUUGGGGAACAAGCUAUCCAGUCAUGAUAUAUACUGGAUGUGGAAAGUGGCGACAUAGGCGCUAUGUUUAUUAUCUGCAAGCAAGGAAAUGCGCAGAAAUAAGAUGAAAGCCAUGUGGAUCCUGGAAAUAAAGCAGGACAAUGCUUUUCGUUUGACCCAUAUCACUCAAAAUAUUAUGUGCGUUUCAAUGGUCCUAGAAGAAACACAACGCUCCAUGAGAAACGAGCAGUAGCGAUAUACUGGUCACAAGAAUGCAUAUGCAUACAUACAAUCUUAUAUGUUAUAUCAUAUUUUUCUAUGUAAAAGAAAUAAAUUCCUAAAUACAGGAAGUAAUGCAAAAGUCUAGCGGAACAU